rnacentral:tRNA from 1 species
UGCUUCGGUAGCUCAGUUGGUAGAGCACUUGCCUGCAAAGGCAAAGGUCCCGAGUUCGAGUCUCGGUUGGGCAC